GACGAACGCUGGCGGCGUGCUUAACACAUGCAAGUCGAACGAUGAAAGAGGAGCUUGCUCCCCUGGAUUAGUGGCGCACGGGUGAGUAACACGUGAGCAAUCCGCCCCUGACUCCGGAAUAACUACGGGAAACUGUAUCUAAUACCGGAUAUGAUCUUAUGAGGCAUCUGUUUCGGUAGGAAAGAAUUUCGUUCAGGGAUGUUCUAGCGGCCUAUCAGCUUGUUGGUGAGGUAGCGGCUCACCAAGGCGACGAAGGGUAGCCGGCCUGAGAGGGUUACCGGCCACAUUGGGACUGAGACACGGCCCAGACGCCUACGGGAGGCAGCAGUGGGGAAUAUUGCACAAUGGGCGCAAGCCUGAUGCAGCAACGCCGCGUGAGGGAUGACGGCCUUCGAGUUGUAAACCUCUUUUAGCAGGGAAGAAGCGAAAGUGACGGUACCUGCAGAAAAAGCGCCGGCUAACUACGUG
rnacentral:rRNA from 1 species